rnacentral:rRNA from 1 species
AACGAACGCUGGCGGCAGGCCUAACACAUGCAAGUCGAGCGAGGACUUCGGUCCUAGCGGCGGACGGGUGAGUAAUGCCUAGGAAUCUGCCUGUUAGUGGGGGAUAACGCGGGGAAACUCGCGCUAAUACCGCAUACGUCCUACGGGAGAAAGCGGGGGCUCUUCGGACCUCGCGCUAACAGAUGAGCCUAGGUCGGAUUAGCUAGUUGGUGGGGUAAUGGCCCACCAAGGCGACGAUCCGUAACUGGUCUGAGAGGAUGAUCAGUCACACUGGAACUGGGACACGGUCCAGACUCCUACGGGAGGCAGCAGUGGGGAAUAUUGGACAAUGGGCGAAAGCCUGAUCCAGCCAUGCCGCGUGUGUGAAGAAGGUCUUCGGAUUGUAAAGCACUUUAAGUCGGGAGGAAGGGCUGUAGGCUAAUACCUUGCAGUUUUGACGUUACCGACAGAAUAAGCACCGGCUAACUUCGUGCCAGCCGCCGCCGUAACAC